UAUCCGCUUGCACCGUUCUCCCGUCUAUUGAACUUUUACCCAAAAGACUCUUACGUCCCCAAACGUACAAGCAUCGAAGUCUGUUUUCCUUGCUCUUUUCCCACCACGUAUAUCCCCGCUGAAUCACCGGUCCAAAGAAAAGAAAAAGAAACGCUCGCUUUACUCUUUCUCUGAGAGCCUCAGUCCAUGCGGAAAGAGAUAUUCCCUAAUUCCCCCACGCACUCUCACUCUCACUCUCGUGGCUGCUUUCUUUCAGUUUCAGAGCAUCUCUGUGGCCCCCUACUUGCUGAGCUAGGGUUUUAAAAGACGGCAGACAACUGUUCGAUUGCUUCCAACACUACUCAGUUUCUGAAACCGAGUUGAAUCUCUCAGGGAGCACAGGAGUCCGUUGGAUGGAGAUGGAGGCGGUUUUAGAGCAUAAGGACGCUGCUGAUUGGGUCUACAGAGGCGAAGGAGCUGCUAAUCUCGUUCUCGCUUACACCGGAUCCUCUCCCUCCUUUGUAGGGAAAGUAAUGCGGAUACAGAAAGCGCUGGGGAACGGGACGGCGCGCGUGAGGAAUCCGACGGCAUUGAGCACGCACGAACGGGUUCUAUGGAGAGACAUAGACGAUAUCGUUUCGUCCCCUAACAAAGAGAUUGCUGCCCAACUCUAUGUGCAGCGCGUCAUGAGCCCGCUCUUGGGUCCCAAACAUGUUGAUGCUGGGAUGCGUGUCCAUGUGUCCAGGGAAUUCCUUGAGUCGGUUGAGAAGAAUGUUAUUUGUCAGCGUCCUGCUUGGCGAGUUGAUGCUGCGAACGUUGAUAUGCAGUGUCAUUCCACGCUUCUCAUAACUGAUCAUGCGCUCUUUCCUCAUGGUGGUCUCAAAGGUGAACCCUGCAUAUCUGUUGAGAUAAAGCCAAAAUGUGGAUUUAUUCCGUUUUCAAGAUUCAUAUCUGAAGGAAAUGCCAUUAAACGGAGCAUAACUAGAUUCAGAAUGCACCAAGCCCUGAAGUUGCAUCAAGGAGAGAUAUCAAAAUUGAGUAAAUACAACCCCCUCGAUCUGUUCUCCAAGUCCAAGGACAGAAUACACAAAGCUAUCAAUGAUCUCUUUACCACCCCUCAGAAUAAUUUCCGGGUAUUCUUGAAUGGUUCACUCAUAUUUGGGGGUUUGGGUUGUGCUGCGGACAGCACUAAUUUUGUGAUUAGUGAAGCAUUUGAAGAUGCACUCAAGCCUGUUAUUAGGGCAGAUAAUGGCAUGCGCACAAGGAAUUUCCUACAGCUUGUUUCGGAGACAGUUUAUAAGUCUAGAGUACUGGAUCGGCUUCUUGAUGUCCAAAAACUUGAUAGUUUUGACAUAGAAGGAGCAGUUCAUGCAUAUUAUGACAUUAUUUCCAAGUCUUGUCCAGUAUGUAGAGAACUGGGUGGAGACGAAGUGUCGCACAUAUAUACCUCUUUGCAUUCCAUUUCUUUGGAUGAAAGCCUGAAGAUUGUGAAGGACUUUCUGAUAGCUGCAACUGCAAAGGACUGUAGUCUGAUGAUUAGUUUUAGACCAAGGGAAGAUGAGGGUUCGGGAUCUCCAUAUAAUAAAGUAUACCUAGAGUCAACCGACCAAAAUUUUGAAUACAAGGCAUCCUUCGUUGACCUGGAUUUGAAACCUUUGAAGAAGAUGGAAAAAUAUUAUGAGUUAGACAAGGAGAUAGUGAAUUGCUACACUCAGAUGCCGGAAACAGACCAAGAAGCAGAUGAAGCCACAAGCAUCGUGGCUUAUACUACUAACAAAGAUUCAAUAUAAUGCCAUGGAUGAUUAUUCUCUUUUUGAAAAUUGUAUUGAGGACACAUUAUACUGAAGAACCAGUUAGCCUGAGAGUAGAGCCUUUUCUCAUGACAGGAGCUGCAGUCAAUAUGGAAGACUCUGUACGCUGUGGUCGAGCAUUAUGGUAUUUUAAUCAGUUUUAGAGGAAUGAUUGUGCGAUCCAAUUUGUUGCCUGCACGUGGCUGAUCCAUGUUCUCAAUAACGAUUUUCUGAGCUGUGAAAAGAAAACUGUAGUGUCAGUGGAACUCCUCUGUUCAAAAUGUAGGCGGAAGGUGAUGAAGUUAAUUGCAUCAAUAGAAGGCAUUACUUCCAUUGUCCUUGACUCUUCAAAAAGUACGGUGACAGUAAUUGGGGAAGCUGAUCCUGUGACAAUCAUCAAGAAGGUCAGAAAAUUCAGAAGAUCUGCAGUGGUGGUCAGUGUCGGUCCUCCCAAAGAAGAGAAGAAGGAUGAGAAGAAGGACCUGUAUGGUAAAGUGGAUGUGAUGUAUACCCCAAAGACAUGUCAAAGAUGUGAUGUAUGGUAUGUGGUUAGUGAAGAUUAUUACAGUUAUUGUUCCAUUAUGUAACUUAGUAAAGCCCAACGUACGUCCUGUUUUAUGUAUUUCACCAUUUCAUACUACAAGAUGUAUGAUAAUUUGGCAAGAAAUAAUGAAAACCAUCAUCUCUUAGCUGAA